AUGUAUAAAUAGGUUAAAUCUGACAAGUUAUAGGUCUUAUUCUGACCUGAACCAAGACCUAUUCUUGUCUUUUUCUUAUUCUUGUUCAAGAACAGAUUUCUGAGAAUUCAAGAACCAUUAAAAGUUGUUGACCUUGAACCCUUGAGUCUGCAAGAAGAUCUGUAGACCUCAUCAUGAUUCGUUGUAGAAGGCACACAUGCAAGAUUAUAAUUGCAACAUCUCUCAUCUGGGGUCUGCUAGAUAUGAUAUUUCUGAUGACAUAUUCAGACUGCAGCAGUGGCGUAGGGUUUGGAUGUUCUAAUGAACAAACAGGGAAAAAAGGAGCAAUAAGUUUUGCAAAGCAAAUAAGUGAAGUCGAGGACUUGAAUGAAAGUUAUCCCCGAGGGAAAUUAAGAACCUGGGCAAAACCUCCAACUGUUCUCAAGAAUAGAGGAAUGCCUGGGGAAAUGGGUAAACCUGUUCAAAUACCCAAGGAUAAAGAAGAAGAGAAGAGAGAAAAGUUUAAAAUAAAUCAGUUUAAUCUGCUCGCCAGUGAGAUGAUCUCAUUAAAUAGAUCUCUUCAAGAUGUCAGAUUAUCUCAAUGCAAAUCUAAGGUUUAUGCAAGUUUAUUACCGACAACAUCAGUUGUGAUAGUUUUCCACAAUGAGGCGUGGACCACCCUUCUCAGAACAAUUCAUUCAAUUAUAAACAGGUCUCCAAGAGAACUAGUGGAAGAAAUUAUCCUAGUGGAUGAUGCUUCCGAGCACACACAUCUAGGAGAGGAUCUGGAGAACUAUGUGAAAACUUUAUCUGUUCCAGUUCAUGUACUGCGGACUGGUACUAGAUCUGGCCUGAUUCGUGCUCGUCUACUCGGAGCUAAGAAUGUCAAGGGAUCUGUGAUUACCUUCCUGGACGCCCAUUGUGAAUGUACCGAGGGCUGGUUAGAACCCCUUCUAGCUGAAAUUGCUAAGAACAGGAAAGCUGUCGUGUGUCCUGUGAUUGAUGUUAUCUCAGAUGAAAGUUUUGAGUAUAUAACUGCCAGUGAUAUGACCUGGGGCGGGUUCAACUGGAAACUCAACUUCAGAUGGUAUCGAGUACCCCAGAGAGAGAUGGAUAGAAGGAACGGGGAUAGAUCAGAACCUCUUCAUACACCAGCUAUGGCAGGAGGGCUCUUCAGUAUAGACAGAGACUACUUUUAUGAGGUUGGAUCAUAUGAUGAAGGAAUGGAUAUCUGGGGAGGAGAAAAUCUAGAAAUGUCCUUCAGGGUGUGGCAGUGUGGAGGCACUCUAGAGAUCAUCCCCUGCUCCCAUGUUGGUCACGUGUUCAGAGAUAAAUCCCCCUACACCUUCCCAGGCGGAGUAGCUAAAAUAGUUAACAAGAACGCCGCCAGGGUCGCUGAGGUCUGGAUGGACGAGUGGCGGGAUUUCUAUUAUUCCAUGAAUCCAGGAGCUAGAAAUGUAGAGAUCGGAGAUCUUAGUCCACGUAAACAGCUGAGAGAAGAGUUGAAAUGUAAAUCAUUCCGAUGGUAUCUGGAGAAUAUAUACCCGGAGUCCCAGAUGCCUUUGGACUACUUCUUCCUAGGAGAAAUAAGGAAUGAUGCUACACAUAAUUGCCUGGAUACUAUGGGACGAAAGAGUGGUGAGGAAUUAGGUCUAUCCUAUUGUCACGGACUGGGAGGAAACCAGGUGUUUGCUUAUACUAAACGCCAGCAAGUAAUGUCUGAUGACAACUGCCUUGAUGCCGCUACACAGGACGGGCCGGUCAAACUUGUCAGAUGCCACGGAAUGGGCGGGAACCAGGCCUGGGUUUACAAUAAAAUGGAUAAAACAUUGAGACAUGUCAACACUGCCAGAUGUUUAUCCAAUAUGGCGGAUCCUUCCACGCCGAAACUAGCGCAAUGCACCGGUGAUUCAUCACAACAAUGGCUAAUGGCGGACAAGUUUAAGUGGCAGGCCUAAACAAAAUGUCAACUUUAGUUAACAACGCAUUCUAAUUAACCUACAAUGCAGGCGGCUCUACAAGGUUUUCAAUGCUGUGAAUGAUUCCAACAUUUCAAUGUAAAAGUUAUGAGAAAUGCGUACAGAAAAAUACUUCAUACGCAUUUUUAAUCCUACAAAGGAGAGAUUACACUUUGCACAAGGAAAUCCCGUUAGUUGCAAAAAUCCGCAACUGAACUCGUCCCAGUGCAAGGAAAAGUUUGUAAACAUGGACGCUUGGAUAGCAUUACUGAACUAAAGGAAAGUUUUUCCAGUCAACCUUUUGAGAUUUGAGAUGGAUAAUAAGAAUUUAAGAGGCGAUGUUACAACAAAUACAACUAGAAACUGUGAUUCACAAAUGAUCUGUAUUUAAUUACAGCUUAGUAAAAAUAAUAAUCCUUGAAAGUUAUCAACCAAUAUUUCCCCUCCCCGCCGUGAUAUUAAACCCUGAGUAGUUUUGCAAUUGGCUUUCAAUUGAUCUGUAGUAUUCUUCAACACGA
rnacentral:misc_RNA from 1 species